UCCUGCAGAAAGCAUCAUUACCACCUGAAAUAACAAAUGUACUCAAAAUGAGAUUUGGAGAUGCCAAGUCAUCACUGCUUGCUAAAUCCACAUAUGCAAUCAAUCAUGGGCGGUGAAACGUCAAUCAAGCCAAUGAUGAAUUUACAAUAUUUUCAUCCAACAGUUGUUUGCAAACCUAUAGGCAUCCCAAAGGUUAUCAAACUCUGUAACACCAUUUAGUGCACAUCUUUUAA
rnacentral:misc_RNA from 1 species